rnacentral:rRNA from 1 species
GAUGAACGCUGGCGGCGUGCCUAAUACAUGCAAGUCGAGCGAACAGACGAGGAGCUUGCUCCUCUGACGUUAGCGGCGGACGGGUGAGUAACACGUGGAUAACCUACCUAUAAGACUGGGAUAACUUCGGGAAACCGGAUCUAAUACCGGAUAAUAUAUUGAACCGCAGGGUUCAAUGGUGAAAGACGGUUUUGCGGUAACUAAUAGCGGGUUCCGCGCUUGUUUGUGUGGUUGGUAAGGUAACGGCUUACCAAGGCAACGAUGCGUAGCCGAACUGAGAGGGUGAUAGGCCACCCUGGAACUGAGACACGGUCCAGACUCCUACGGGAGGCAGCAGUAGGGAAUCUUCCGCAAUGGGCGAAAGCUUGACGGAGCAACGCCGCGUGAGUGAUGAAGGUCUUCGGAUCGUAAAACUCUGUUAUUAGGGAAGAACAAAUGUGUAAGUAACUAUGCACGUCUUGACGGUACCUAAUCAGAAAGCCACGGCUAACUACGUG